rnacentral:rRNA from 1 species
ACGCUCGACACCUACGGGAGGCAGCAGUUGGGAAUAUUGGACAAUGGAGGGAACUCUGAUCCAGUGACGCCGCGUGAAGGAAGAAGGUCUUCGGAUUGUAAACUUAUUUUAUCAGGGAAGAAAGAAAUGACAGUACCUGAAGAAGAAGGACCGGCUAACUACGUGCCAGCACGCCGUGGUAAUCUGAGGCGGGUCUGGCGAAGGC